UAGGGAAUCUUCGGCAAUGGACGAAAGUCUGACCGAGCAACGCCGCGUGAGUGAAGAAGGCUUUCGGAUCGUAAAAUUCUGUUGUUAGAGAAGAACAAGGACGUUAGUAACUGAACGUCCCCUGACGGUAUCUAACCAGAAAGCCACGUCUAACUACGUGCCAGCAGCCGCGGUAAUACGUAGGUGGCAAGCGUUGUCCGGAAUUAUUGGGCGUAAAGCGAGCGCAGGCGGUUUCUUAAGUCGGAUGUGAAAGCCCCCGGCUCAACCGGGGAGGGUCAUUGGAAACUGGGGGACUUGAGUGCAGAAGAGGAGAGUGGAAUUCCAUGUGUAGCGGUGAAAUGCGUAGAUAUAUGGAGGAACACCAGUGGCGAAGGCGGCUCUCUGGUCUGUAACUGACGCUGAGGCUCGAAAGCGUGGGGAGCAAACAGG
rnacentral:rRNA from 1 species